rnacentral:lncRNA from 1 species
ACGGGCUUCAGGCAGGACGAUGAGCGGGGUUGUGCUGUCAGCAGCCGGUCCCUGCACAGGUCAGUUUGCAGAACCAGGCCCUGAGUGGCGCACGCUUCGUAAGGGCACCCAGGGUCAUUUGCCAGCCUCCCGCCUUCAGCUUAUUUUUAGAGCCUGCUUUUGGAGGAGAUGCAUACAUGCAAAUGCCUUUCCUCCUCCCCCCUCCGCCGUGCUGGUGCAGGAUCAUAAAUGCCAAGCUUUGCUCGCUAUUUCUGGUGGUGUGGAAUUGUGCCACCGGGUCCGGACCCCGCUGCGCUUGUUGCCACACCGUCGGGCCCGGGCCCUUGCUACAGCAGGUACCACCGGCCUGGGGUGGCUGCCUUUCCAGCUGCCACCUCCCUCCCUUCACGAGGAUGUUACCGUCCCUGCGAAGCCACUGCCCUGA